AUGAUAAUCGUCAUUCUUGCGACAGCUCCAAGAAGCCGGGCUUCUGAGGUCCUGAACCCGCGUCUUUCUGUGCCCCGCCGCGGCCGCCACACAGCACAGGUUCUCCGUCCUGAAGUCACAGUCCCCCUCAGGGCCACCGUCGCACGGUCUCACCCUCGCGGCGUGGCCCGCGCACUCAGCGUCCCGGUCACCCUCGCACCUGGGGUUCCCCUUUCUACACAUACCCCCGUCUUCCUCACACUAGCCGCGUCGCCGGCACACUCCGGGGCUCGCUCCCUCACGGUCACCAUCAGCCUCCGGGGGCUCGUACUCACACAGCGUUUCACCCACACCCGGUCCUCACGCUGGUCCCUCUCCCCUCGCGGUGCCACCCCUCACCAGCGGCGCCUCUCGUGCGGCCCCAGCUGGCCAGCCCUGCGCAGUUUCCGGGCCGCAUCCCGCUCCGGGUGGCGGCGGCGAAGACCCAGAGGGUUCGGCUCCCGCAGAACGCGGCCCGGCCCGGCCCUGCUCCCCGCGAGCCCGCCCACGGCCCGGCCGUUACCUCUCGGUGGCCGGACGCCGCCAGGAUGCUCGGUCGCGCCGCCGCCGCCACGGCCGCCCAGGCCCCGCCCUGCCACGUCAUCCGGCUCCGGAUCGCGACAGCGCGCGCCGCGUCGGGAUAAAGUUCCGCUAGGGGCCCGCUGGCGGCGGCGUUUCUGGGCCCCUGUGGCCGCUACGGCCUGGCAGGUACGGGGUCUGCAGGCCCGGCCCGUAUACGUGGACGCCCCACAGCCCCCAGCGGCCUCGCCGGGUCCUGGCCACCCUCGCCGCCCUGGAGUCACACGGGACUCCAAGGCCGUCCACACCCGGACAUUCCCGCGGGGAGCUCACAUCGGCCCCUGCACUCGGUUCCUAUCUUGCCCUUGGCCUGGGCCCGGCGCCCAGGGGGUCCCCUGCAGCUCACACAGAGAUCCAAACGGCCUCCGCCUGGCCAUCGCCCUCCCACCUCUCCACCCUCCCAUCCCCAGCCUAGGAACCCCCACACACAGACACUGCAGGCUCCUUCCGCCAACCCCAGGCCUCCCUGGAGCUCUGUCCUCAUCUUUCCUGUCCCUGCUGCCACCUCUCUUGGAGGAGCUGCACCUCCUGCCCCCUUCCCCUCCUUCUGUUUGCUCCUUCAUCUUCCUCUUCCUCUGGUGGCUCUGGGGCUCUGUCUAG
rnacentral:lncRNA from 13 species